UACGGGGGGGGCAAGCGUUGUUCGGAAUUACUGGGCGUAAAGGGCUCGUAGGCGGCCAACUAAGUCAGACGUGAAAUCCCUCGGCUUAACCGGGGAACUGCGUCUGAUACUGGAUGGCUUGAGUUUGGGAGAGGGAUGCGGAAUUCCAGGUGUAGCGGUGAAAUGCGUAGAUAUCUGGAGAAACACCGGAGGCGAAGGCGGCUACACUGGGGGUUUCUGACGCUGAGGAACGAAAGCCAGGGGAGGCGAACGGG
rnacentral:rRNA from 1 species